CAGCAGCCACGGUAAUACAGAGGGUGCGAGCGUUAAUCGGAUUUACUGGGCGUAAAGCGUGCGUAGGCGGCUUUUUAAGUCGGAUGUGAAAUCCCUGAGCUUAACUUAGGAAUUGCAUUUGAUACUGGGAAGCUAGAGUAUGGGAGAGGAUGGUAGAAUUCCAGGUGUAGCGGUGAAAUGCGUAGAGAUCUGGAGGAAUACCGAUGGCGAAGGCAGCCAUCUGGCCUAAUACUGACGCUGAGGUACGAAAGCAUGGGGAGCAAACAGGAUUAGAGACCCCUGUAGUCCCUGUCUCUUAUAA
rnacentral:rRNA from 1 species